GGGGCAUAAUGAGGAUUUCUUAUUAGUCUGAAGUUUGGUUGAUUGAUAUAUAACCUCCUACUCAUUCUGA